AAGGUAGCAUAAUCAUUUGCCUUUUAAAUGGAGGCUGGUAUGAAUGGCAAGACGGAGAUUUAGCUGUCUCUCUCUUAGAAUUUUGAAGUUAAUUUUUUUGUGAAGAAGCAAAAAUUUAAUCGUAGGACGAGAAGACCCUAUCGAGCUUAAAUAAAAAAGUAUAUGUUUGUAAUAUGUUUUUUGUGUUAAUUUCCCUUUAAAAAGGGUAUAGUUUUAUUUAAAAGGCAUAAGAUUAUUAUAUUUUUUAUUUAGAUUGGGGCAAUCGCGGAAGAAAUAAAGCUUUCGUUGUGAGUAAGUUAAAAAGUGACAUCUUUAAAGAAUAGUAGAUUGUAAAGUUAAAAUGACCCACUUUUUGAAGUGAGUAAAGGAAUAAGUUACCGUAGGGAUAACAGCGUAAUUUUUUUGGAGAGUUCAUAUUGAUAAAAGAGUUUGCGACCUCGAUGUUGGAUCGGGACUUCCGGGGGAUGCAGCAGUUCCCAAAGGUUGGUCUGUUCGACCAUUAAAGUCCUACGUGAUCUGA
rnacentral:rRNA from 1 species